GCGGGUGUAGCUCAAUGGUAGAGCAGCAGCUUCCCAAGCUGAAUACGAGGGUUCGAUUCCCUUCACCCACU
rnacentral:tRNA from 1 species